rnacentral:rRNA from 1 species
UUCAAUACUGUUGCUUGCAAUGGUGUGCACUUUUCUCUUAGUAAGACGUUGUGAUCCAUUAGGAAUCGAUUCUCUAUCUAAUGUUGGAGAAUUAAUAGGCUGCCAAUAGACUGGCAUUGAAGUUCAUAAUGUUAAACAACUAGAUCUUUUGGUUUGGUAUAUUGACUUGUGAGCAUGCCAUGCACUGAUGUAGCUGCCUGAUGGAUUUUAAAGGUUAUAUCAUUGAUGCUUGCAUCACCCGAUUUAUUUUGGGCAUACGAUAUAUACCCGAUCAACAACGGUUUCAUUUGGGAUACCUUUAGGACCCGUCUUGAAACACGGACCAAGGAGUCUAUCUAGUAUGCGAGUAAAUGGGACUUUUUUAUGAAACCUAUUUGCGUAAAUAACUUGACUGUAUUUAAUGGGAUUACAUGUGUAUAUCUGUAAAGGUACGCAUCUCCAUCCCGGGGUAUUUUCAYAACAUAUAUGGGCAACUAUAUAUAGAAAAUAUACCAUGAGCAUACUGGACAUGACCCGAAAGAUGGUGAACUAUGCCUGAUCAGGUUGAAGUCAGGGGAAACCCUGAUGGAGGACCGAAGCAAUUCUGACGUGCAAAUCG